AGUGAACGCUGGCGGUAGGCCUAACACAUGCAAGUCGAACGGCAGCACAGUAAGAGCUUGCUCUUACGGGUGGCGAGUGGCGGACGGGUGAGGAAUACAUCGGAAUCUACUUUUUCGUGGGGGAUAACGUAGGGAAACUUACGCUAAUACCGCAUACGACCUACGGGUGAAAGCAGGGGAUCUUCGGACCUUGCGCGAUUGAAUGAGCCGAUGUCGGAUUAGCUAGUUGGCGGGGAAAAGGCCCACCAAGGCGACGAUCCGUAGCUGGUCUGAGAGGAUGAUCAGCCACACUGGAACUGAGACACGGUCCAGACUCCUACGGGAGGCAGCAGUGGGGAAUAUUCGACGAUGGGCGCAAGCCUGAUCCAGCCAUACCGCGUGGGUGAAGAAGGCCUUCGGGUUGUAAAGCCCUUUUGUUGGGAAAGAAAAGCAGCAGGUUAAUACCCCGCUGUUCUGACGGUACCCAAAGAAUAAGCACCGGCUAACUUCGUG
rnacentral:rRNA from 1 species